GAGCGAGGAAUGUUGGAUAGCUUGCUAUUUGAUAUUUCUAGCGGCGGACGGGUGAGUAACGCGUGAGCAACCUGCCUUUAUCAGGGGGAUAACGCAUCGAAAGAUGUGCUAAUACCGCGUAAGACCACAGCCUCACAUGGGGCAGGGGUCAAAGGAGGAAUCCGGAUAAAGAUGGGCUCGCGUCCGAUUAGCUAGUUGGUGAGAUAACAGCCCACCAAGGCGACGAUCGGUAGCCGACCUGAGAGGGUGAUCGGCCACAUUGGAACUGAGAGACGGUCCAGACUCCUACGGGAGGCAGCAGUGGGGAAUAUUGGGCAAUGGGCGAAAGCCUGACCCAGCAACGCCGCGUGAGGGAAGAAGGGUUUCGGCUCGUAAACCUCUGUCCUAUGGGACGAAGGAAGUGACGGUACCAUAGGAGGAAGCCCCGGCUAACUACGUGCCAGCAGCCGCGGUAAUACGUAGGGGGCGAGCGUUGUCCGGAAUGAUUGGGCGUAAAGGGCGCGUAGGCGGCCUGCUAAGUCUGAAGUGAAAGUCCUGCUUUCAAGGUGGGAAGUGCUUUGGAUACUGGUGGGCUGGAGUGCAGGAGAGGAAAGCGGAAUUACCGGUGUAGCGGUGAAAUGCGUAGAGAUCGGUAGGAACACCAGUGGCGAAGGCGGCUUUCUGGACUGAAACUGACGCUGAGGCGCGAAAGCGUGGGGAGCAAACAGGAUUAGAUACCCUGGUAGUCCACGCGGUAAACGAUGAAUGCUAGGUGUAGGAGGUAUCGACCCCUUCUGUGCCGCAGUAAACACAAUAAGCAUUCCGCCUGGGGAGUACGGCCGCAAGGUUGAGACUCAAAGGAAUUGACGGGGGCCCGCA
rnacentral:rRNA from 1 species